rnacentral:rRNA from 1 species
AGCGAACGCUGGCGGCAGGCCUAACACAUGCAAGUCGAACGAACCUUUCGGGGUUAGUGGCGGACGGGUGAGUAACACGUGGGAACGUGCCUUUAGGUUCGGAAUAACUCAGCGAAACUUGUGCUAAUACCGAAUGUGCCCUUCGGGGGAAAGAUUUAUCGCCUUUAGAACGGCCCGCGUCUGAUUAGCUAGUUGGUUGAGGUAAUGGCUCACCAAGGCGACGAUCAGUAGCUGGUCUGAGAGGAUGAUCAGCCACAUUGGGACUGAGACACGGCCCAAACUCCUACGGGAGGCAGCAGUGGGGAAUCUUGCGCAAUGGGCGAAAGCCUGACGCAGCCAUGCCGCGUGAAUGAUGAAGGUCUUAGGAUUGUAAAAUUCUUUCACCGGGGACGAUAAUGACGGUACCCGGAGAAGAAGCCCCGGCUAACUUCGUG